rnacentral:rRNA from 1 species
GAACGCUGGCGGCGUGCCUAAUACAUGCAAGUCGAGCGAAGUUUUUCUGGUGCUUGCACCGGAAAAACUUAGCGGCGAACGGGUGAGUAACACGUAAAGAACCUGCCUCAUAGACUGGGACAACUAUUGGAAACGAUAGCUAAUACCGGAUAAUAGCAUUAACUGCAUGGUUGAUGUUUAAAAGUUGGUUUUGCUAACACUAUGAGAUGGCUUUGCGGUGCAUUAGCUAGUUGGUGGGGUAAAGGCCUACCAAGGCGACGAUGCAUAGCCGACCUGAGAGGGUGAUCGGCCACACUGGGACUGAGACACGGCCCAGACUCCUACGGGAGGCAGCAGUAGGGAAUCUUCCGCAAUGGGCGAAAGCCUGACGGAGCAACGCCGCGUGAGUGAAGAAGGAUUUCGGUUCGUAAAGCUCUGUUGUUAGGGAAGAAUGAUUGUGUAGUAACUAUACACAGUAGAGACGGUACCUAACCAGAAAGCCACGGCUAACUACGUG